GGUUCAAGUCCUCUAUCCCCA
rnacentral:tRNA from 4 species